CUGAAAAAAGUGAUUUUGGAGAGCGGUAAAUAUAAUCUGUGGAAACCAUAUAAAAUUUACUUGAUUAUUGCAGCCAGCCAAGGAAUUCAAAAGUAAUGGGUAAAUUCUACAUAUGCUACCCAUUCGUCAACAGUAACAACCAUCACAUAGAAAAAUUCAGUAAAGUAUACCCCCAAACCGUGAGUUUAUUGCUUGAAAUUGCGCAUGCGUCAGCCCGCGUUUUUGAGUGAGUGUGGACGACGCUGGAUCUUCUCACCGGCUGCCAUGAUCGAACAAACAGCAGAAAUUAAGGCAGAGUCUGUAUAUGUGGACACUCACUAUUUGCCCUCUCUACAGUUUCUCUUGUCUGUCCCCCACAAGCAGAGACCCACUGAUAGACCGCUGUUACCAGUUCUAGGGCUGACACAUCCGCACACGUCCACAUCACAAGUGUAUCCUGUAAAGAUCAAGGAGGAGCAUCACAACAGUUUCGUUGAAGUAGACAUUCUUGUGGAAGCUUGAUGAGUACACACCAGGUUUUGCAGCUAAUGCAUGCCAAAGGAGGAGCAGCUAGUUGCAAGAUGCAUCCUCUGCUGGACAGUUUAAAUACACAGAACAUUGAGGAAAAAAAGAGAUGCUGUUGUCUGCUGCCUCAAUAACUACCUUGGGGAAAGACAAGAAGAUAUGUUCCAUGACUGGCAGGAAUGUGAGGAGUACACAGACAAAACGAUGAAGGAGAUUGUGAAGCACAAUUUGUCUAUUGUGAUCGGGGGAAAACAAGUGAUGGAAGGAUGAGGAAGCCAAACAGAGGCAUGCAUACUGCUGGGACUCAUAUGCAAUUAACAUUGAAUAUCCAAAGGAGCUGAAAAACACGUUUGA